CUGAUGUGCCCUGUUGUACCCCUCCACACUUGAGGCUGCCGAGGAGAAGAUCACGCUCCGUGUAGAAAAUUCGGCCAUGUUCUAAGUGGCUAACCGGCAAGGGUUGGACGACAUAAUGCCAACGACCUCACCCUAGGAGUCCACUUCACGGUCAUGGCAUCCGCCUCCACCAAUUUUCUAGAGGAGUUAAGUUCCAGAGACGAAUGGGGAGGUCAACUUUGAGAUGCAGCACUC